GAAUUCGCCCUUAGAGUUUGAUCAUGGCUCAGGACGAACGCUGGCGGCGUGCCUAACACAUGCAAGUGGAGCGACGAACCGGGGCUUGCCCCGGGGCAGAGCCGCGAACGGGUGAGUAACACGUGGGUUACCUGCCCCGAUGACCGGGACAACCCGUCGAAAGACGGGCUAAUACCGGAUGUGCCCGCAAGGGGAAAGGAAGCUUCGGCCUCCGCAUCGGGAUGGGCCCGCGGCGCAUUAGCUUGUUGGUGGGGUAAUGGCCUACCAAGGCGACGAUGCGUAGNUGGUCUGAGAGGACGAUCAGUCACACUGGGACUGAGACACGGUCCAGACUCNUACGGGACGCAGCA
rnacentral:rRNA from 1 species